GAUCCGGAUUAGAUACCCUGGUAGUCCACGCCGUAAACGAUGUCGACUUGGAGGCUGUUUCCUUGAGAAGUGGCUUCCGGAGCUAACGCGUUAAGUCGACCGCCUGGGGAGUACGGCCGCAAGGUUAAAACUCAAAUGAAUUGACGGGGGCCCGCACAAGCGGUGGAGCAUGUGGUUUAAUUCGAUGCAACGCGAAGAACCUUACCUACUCUUGACAUCCACGGAAUUUGGCAGAGAUGCCUUAGUGCCUUCGGGAACCGUGAGACAGGUGCUGCAUGGCUGUCGUCAGCUCGUGUUGUGAAAUGUUGGGUUAAGUCCCGCAACGAGCGCAACCCUUAUCCUUUGUUGCCAGCGAUUCGGUCGGGAACUCAAAGGAGACUGCCGGUGAUAAACCGGAGGAAGGUGGGGAUGACGUCAAGUCAUCAUGGCCCUUACGAGUAGGGCUACACACGUGCUACAAUGGCGCAUACAAAGAGAAGCGACCUCGCGAGAGCAAGCGGACCUCAUAAAGUGCGUCGUAGUCCGGAUCGGAGUCUGCAACUCGACUCCGUGAAGUCGGAAUCGCUAGUAAUCGUGGAUCAGAAUGCCACGGUGAAUACGUUCCCGGGCCUUGUACACACCGCCCGUCACACCAUGGGAGUGGGUUGCAAAAGAAGUAGGUAGCUUAACCUUCGGGAGGGCGCUUACCACUUUGUGAUUCAUGACUGGUGUGAAGUCGUAACAAGGU
rnacentral:rRNA from 1 species